UAGCCAACUAGAUAAGUCAGUCUCCCUCGCGUUGACACGUGUUCCGAUAAGUAAAACGAGUCGUUUCAUUUAUUCAUUACUAUCGUAGGCUUCGUCGUUUGUUUAAGAUUGGGCUUUGGAUUUGGUAAGUGUUUCCGGCCCGAUGAAAUGGAUAUGGCUCUAACCCUAAUACAUCCGCAGACGAGAAACAAAGAAGGUCGUCUCUCCUCUUCAUGCGAUGACGACCCGAUGUCGUUAAUCACAUUGAUUCGCUCCCCCGCGGCGUAAUCUAAGGUGCACGAAAAUCGAAUCUGACGGUGCCUCCAUCGUCGCCACUGAUGAAAGACUCCGAAGUCGAUCCUCGCCUCCCAAAUUCGGCGACAGUCGGAGUCGAGGAUUGGAGAAUAGCGGCGAGGAAGGGAUCAAAGAGGAUUACGAAGAAGAGAAGACGAACAAGAAAGAGGGGAGGUUUCUCCGCCGUGGAAUUUGAGAAAGAGAAGAGCAGCUUGUAAGGUUCCGAUCACAGAUUCCGAUGGGAAUCGGUACAAGGAAAAAGGGUUUGGUGAGGAGAAUGGAGUGAGCCCAAGUUUAACGGACCAUGAGCUUCCCUACCCCUAUUUCUCUAGAGCCAAUUUCCUAUGGGUUCGGUAGAACUCUUAUGCCCUUAUUUCAUAAUUCAUUUUUUAAUCAAAACCCAAAAUCCCAAAUCAAAUCCUCCUCUCUCAUCAAAACUAAACCCUAACCUCUCCUAUGGAUUAGUGAACCUUUGGGUAAAGAUUUUAAUUCUAUACAUUUCAAAUUUGGAAAAACAAGUUUUUAAAAUCGUUUUUAAUCAAAUUUUGAUGAUUUUCGUGAAAUUUUGGAAAACCCGUUUUUUGAUUUUUGAAAUAUUUUUAUCAAAUUCUAUAAAUCAAAUAAAGAAUAUUCACGUUUCCAGAUUAAUUUUGUGAUCUUUCAUUUGCCAUAUAAAUUAAAAAAAAAACCGAGCCCAUUAAAGAUUACACAAUAAGAUAUAAGAGCAUUGGAGCAAUUGUUCCUUUAGCUCGACGCUGUCGAAGAAAGAGGUGGAAGAUGAUUUCAUGGCAAUGACGGGUCACCAGCCACUGCAAUGGCCCAAGAAGCGGCCCAGAAACGUUCAGAGACAGAUUGAUUCGUAGUCAUUGUAUCCAGCUCAUUAUUUUGGUGAAGUCACGAAAGAUAUGUACGAUGUCCCAGACGCAGCCGAGAACGGAAAGAAAUUAUGCUUAUGGAUGAAAGUUGCACGGCUUUAUUUCGCUGACUUGUGGAAAAUGUUUUGAAGUUGGGAGUGUUGAUCAAACUAGAAGAUGCUUUUGAGUUUCUUUUGCUAUUCUUUUUGUUAGUUUUAGUUUGGGCUGAAAUAAGCUGUACAAAGAUAUUGGAGGAAGUUAAGCAAGGUGUUGAUGUAAUUAGAACAUACUCUUUGAUUCAGUAUGUCAGCAACGAACAGCCAAUAAUAAUAAUCAUCAAUAAAAGGAUGAACAAUUCACCAAA